UACGAAGGGGGCUAGCGUUUCUCGGAAUCACUGGGCGUAAAGCGCACGUAGGCGGCUUCUUAAGUCAGGGGUGAAAUCCUGGGGCUCAACCCCAGAACUGCCCUUGAUACUGAGGAGCUUGAGUCCGGGAGAGGUGAGUGGAACUCCGAGUGUAGAGGUGAAAUUCGUAGAUAGUCGGAAGAACACCAGUGGCGAAGGCGGCUCACUGGCCCGGUACUGACGCUGAGGUGCGAAAGCGUGGGGAGUAAACAGG
rnacentral:rRNA from 1 species